UACAGAGGUCUCAAGCGUUGUUCGGAUUCAUUGGGCGUAAAGGGUGCGUAGGCGGCGCGGUAAGUCGGGUGUGAAAUCUUGGAGCUUAACUCCGAAACUGCAUUCGAUACUGCCGUGCUUGAGGACUGGAGAGGAGACUGGAAUUUACGGUGUAGCGGUGAAAUGCGUAGAUAUCGUAAGGAAGACCAGUGGCGAAAGGCGGGUCUCUGGACAGGUUCCUGACGCUGAGGCACGAAGGCCAGGGGAGCAAACGGG
rnacentral:rRNA from 1 species